rnacentral:rRNA from 1 species
UACGAAGGGUGCAGGCGUUACUCGGAAUUACUGGGCGUAAAGCGUGCGUAGGUGGUUGUUUAAGUCUGUUGUGAAAGCCCUGGGCUCAACCUGGGAAUUGCAGUGGAUACUGGGCGACUAGAGUGUGGUAGAGGGUAGUGGAAUUCCCGGUGUAGCAGUGAAAUGCGUAGAGAUCGGGAGGAACAUCCAUGGCGAAGGCAGCUACCUGGACCAACACUGACACUGAGGCACGAAAGCGUGGGGAGCAAACAGG